AACGAACGCUGGCGGCAGGCCUAACACAUGCAAGUCGAACGCUCCAGCAAUGGAGAGUGGCAGACGGGUGAGUAACACGUGGGAACCUUCCCUACGGUCGGGAAUAGCCCAGGGAAACUUGGGGUAAUACCGGAUACGCCCUUCGGGGGAAAGAUUUAUCGCCGUUGGAUGGGCCCGCGCCGGAUUAGCUAGUUGGUGGGGUAAUGGCCUACCAAGGCGACGAUCCUUAGCUGGGCUGAGAGGAUGAUCAGCCACACUGGGACUGAGACACGGCCCAGACUUCUCCGGGAGGCAGCAGUGGGGAAUAUUGGACAAUGGGCGCAAGCCUGAUCCAGCCAUGCCGCGUGAGUGACGAAGGCCUUAGGGUUGUAAAGCUCUUUUGGCGGGGAAGAUAAUGACGGUACCCGCAGAAUGAGCUCCGGCUAACUUCGUGCCAGCCGCCGCCGUAAGAC
rnacentral:rRNA from 1 species